rnacentral:rRNA from 1 species
UACGUAGGGGGCAAGCGUUGUCCGGAUUUAUUGGGCGUAAAGCGCACGCAGGCGGUUUCAUAAGUUUGAAGUGACAGUGCCCGGCUCAACCGGGUAAGGCCUUUGAAGACUGUGGGACUUGAGGACCAGAGAGGGACAUAGAAUUCCGGGUGGAGUGGUGAAAUGCGUAGAUAUCCGGAGGAAUACCAAAGGCGAAGGCAGUGUCCUGGCUGGUAACUGACGCUCAGGUGCGAAAGCUAGGGGAG